rnacentral:rRNA from 1 species
UGGGGAAUAUUGGACAAUGGGCGAAAGCCUGAUCCAGCCAUGCCGCGUGUGUGAAGAAGGUCUUCGGAUUGUAAAGCACUUUAAGUUGGGAGGAAGGGCAUUAACCUAAUACGUUAGUGUUUUGACGUUACCGACAGAAUAAGCACCGGCUAACUCUGUGCCAGCAGCCGCGGUAAUACAGAGGGUGCAAGCGUUAAUCGGAAUUACUGGGCGUAAAGCGCGCGUAGGUGGUUUGUUAAGUUGGAUGUGAAAUCCCCGGGCUCAACCUGGGAACUGCAUUCAAAACUGACUGACUAGAGUAUGGUAGAGGGUGGUGGAAUUUCCUGUGUAGCGGUGAAGUGCGUAGAUAUAGGAAGGAACACCAGUGGCGAAGGCGACCACCUGGACUAAUACUGACACUGAGGUGCGAAAGCGUGGGGAGCAAACA